GACGAACGCUGGCGGCGUGCCUAAUACAUGCAAGUAGAACGCUGAAGGAGGAGCUUGCUUCUCUGGAUGAGUUGCGAACGGGUGAGUAACGCGUAGGUAACCUGCCUGGUAGCGGGGGAUAACUAUUGGAAACGAUAGCUAAUACCGCAUAAGAGUAGAUGUUGCAUGACAUUUGCUUAAAAGGUGCACUUGCAUCACUACCAGAUGGACCUGCGUUGUAUUAGCUAGUUGGUGGGGUAACGGCUCACCAAGGCGACGAUACAUAGCCGACCUGAGAGGGUGAUCGGCCACACUGGGACUGAGACACGGCCCAGACUCCUACGGGAGGCAGCAGUAGGGAAUCUUCGGCAAUGGACGGAAGUCUGACCGAGCAACGCCGCGUGAGUGAAGAAGGUUUUCGGAUCGUAAAGCUCUGUUGUAAGAGAAGAACGAGUGUGAGAGUGGAAAGUUCACACUGUGACGGUAUCUUACCAGAAAGGGACGGCUAACUACGUG
rnacentral:rRNA from 1 species